rnacentral:tRNA from 1 species
GCACCCGUAGCUCAGCCUGGCGGGACGCAGCGAACCCUUGCUGUGCUCGGGCAAAUAGAGCGACUGCCUCCUAAGCAGUAGGUCGAGAGUUCGAAUCUCUUCGGGUGCG